GCUAACUGCUGCCUACUGGCCUAGCUGCAUCGUAAACCAGAAACUUUAGCUUUUCAUAUCAACUAGAUUGGCCUUAUUUCUAUACCAGAAAUCACAUAGUCCUUUCCCACCUCCAAGCUCUCAAAAAUCCUGAAAGCCAUACUUUUAUAAUACUUUCCAAGCACUAAGUUACUUAAUCUCCAUUUUCAAGUCAACAUGAAAUGUCUUUUUAUCCAGGGAGAUGCUCGUGAUUCUCUUGCAUUUGUUAGAUUUCCCCAUUGACCAGGACUUAUAGAGCCCCGUUACUCUCUUCCUUAAUAAUUGUCAGAAAUAUAAAAAUAGAGAGCUCAACGUGAAGCUAAAGAAGAGAGAAAGAAGAAAACUGUUGGAGAUAUGUUAAUAAUUACAAUUAGCAAGCAAAAAUAUCUUUUAAAAUUACUUUAGGAAAUUGGAAUUAAGGAAUGGUUGAUCCUUAUUUAUCAUGGAAAUGGACCUUCUCACCUACAUUACUGGUGAUUGAGUCAUAAAAAGUUUAUAGAGGAAGGAGGCAAAGCAAGAUGGCGGAAUAGAACUCUCCAACGUUUGUCCCCAUUCAGCAACACCAAAUUGAACCAACUAUCCAUGCAAAAAAAGCAUCCUUAUCAGAAAUAAAAAUCAGGUGAGUAGUGACAGCACCUAGUUCUAACAUAAUAUCUAGGAAAGAGGUGUUGAAGACUCUUGCAUUACCUA
rnacentral:lncRNA from 1 species